rnacentral:rRNA from 1 species
GGAAGGCUCGUCCGCUCUGGGUUAGUCGGGUCCUAAGCUGAGGCCGACAGGCGUAGGCGAUGGAUAACAGGUUGAUAUUCCUGUACCACCUAGUAUCGUUUUAAUCGAUGGGGGGACGCAGUAGGAUAGGCGAAGCGUGCUGUUGGAGUGCACGUCCAAGCAGUAAGGCUGAGUGUUAGGCAAAUCCGGCACUCAUAAGGCUGAGCUGUGAUGGGGAGAGGAAAUUGUUUCCUCGAGUCGUUG